GAGAAGCGGAAGGGAGAGAAUGGAAAUGGCCGCAUGCAGCUCCUCUCCCUCAGACAGCUCGGGGCUCAGCGGAAUGAGCACAGUCUGCAGGACAAGUGCGGAGGACUUCAGUCCCCUCUACUGUAUAUUGGCUUUAGGACUCAAGUUGUCCCUGAAAUAGAGGAAGGUGUUUUCUAGGGUAGUGGUAAUUAUCACAGUCAAAAAAGUAGGCGAGAGCACUUAGGAAAACUGUGCGGAGAUCGGCUGCUGAUGUGUAAAUACUGCUGAAGCUGCUUAUUCAAGAUUAGAAAACCUGAGACCCAGACGGGGGAAACUGCUUUCCAUGGUUAAUCGUCAACAACUGGCCAGGAUGGGACAGAAGCCCAUACAUAGCCUUCAUUCCAGGGCUCAGAACAAAAAGAAGGCAGUGGCCUGGGCUGCACCUGAGCUUGGCUUCACAUAGGAGGGAUUCUGGAACGCAGGAUCCUGACAACGACCUCAAGCCCCUGUAAAGCAACACAUUUUUUGGCAAGAAUCCCUGGGACAGAGAAAGAAUUUCUUCUCACUUAUUAUUGAGAAUGUUCUCAUGUCUUGCAAGAGACACUGGAAUGUUUCCAGAGAGGCAUAUCAUUGGUUUCCACUUACAGUGGCUAUGUUCUACAGCCUCUCCUGACUACAAGGGAGAUGGAGAAAUUGCAUAGUAUUGUCACCAUCUUGCAAAACGUCAGCACUUUGGAAUAAGGAAGAAUGUAGAACGACGUUUCAUGGGUGAUAAAGGCAUCUUCUGGGAAGGAACAAGUUGCAACUGAACACAGCAGGCAUCUUCUUUGGAGGUGCUUCUAAGACAUUUACACCAGGUUCCACUCUCCUAGGAGGCAGUUAGGAAGGAGUUUGCAGGAUAACACAAGUGACUUGCUGCCUUUGGUGUGGAAAAGCAGCUCAGAGGAACUUCCCCUAGGUCAUCACCUUUGCGACCUGCCAACAUGUUUAGUGGAUGCUAUCUUGGUUGGGUGAUCUUCAUAUCCUUUGCCUCUUUUUUCUGGCAUUACUCUGCAUUGUAUGGGGUGGUGCCCAAUUCCAGAUUGAAUUUCCCAGGUAAUCCAGAGAUUAUCAGGGAGGAGAUAGGGAAAAGCCAGGACUUUCAUCUUCCACCCUCUCUGCCUUAUGGGACAUCUUUGUCAAAAUGCUCCCAGCAUCUCCUACCUGCCUCCAGCUCUCUGAAAGAGGUUCACUUCCAUUCCAACUUCUCAAGGCCGGCCCUGCUCCUGGCUGUAAUAACAUUGCAUCUUCCCUCUGUUUCUCCAGCUGAGAGGUGGCAGUGGCUUCCUCUGGUGGCUGGCAGAGUUGAUUGGAUCUUCCUUCACAAGUUUCCAAGGCUUAAUUUGCUUUUCAAAAUCCAUCAAAGUGAAUGUCUUUCUUUAACCCUCGUUGGAGAGAUGUGUCAACCAUAAACUGCCCGUAGGAGCAAUGUGAUACUGCUUGAUUCCACAACCAUUUGUGUGAUUUGGGAGCAUGGUUUUGCUUGAUGUGUACAUUCUUAACAUGAUGAAUAGAAUUGCAGAGGUGACAGAAUAGAGAGAAAUUGUAUAGCUACUUGAAAGCCUGCCCAUGCAUUUAUUUCCCCAGACAGACCAGCUUCAUGCCUCCUGACUGAUGCAUCUAUUACAAAUGGGAGGCAGGAUGGAGGAUACAGAGGGUGGAAAAAAGAGAGCAGUGAAAUGUUGAUUCAAAAAGACAAAAAAUGUAAAAUAAAAGGAUUUUGCAUUCUAAAAAUCCACGUGAGGCUUCUAGGGCAAAUCCAUUAGGGGAAUUUUCUCAGUAUGCACUGCCAGAAAUUCUGUUUUAGCUUGCCUCUUAAGUGGACAUUUUGCUUAAAAGGCAGAAAAUAUAUUUCUAAUCAAAGGGAAACCUUAUAUUCAUGUCUGCUUUUAAAUGAGAGCCUCAAAAUCGAAAUUGUUUGCCUGUACUGUAGGUCUGAAUGACACUUCAGCUGGGGUAUGCUGACAAGUGUUUAAUAAUUGGCUCUCCAGUGAGAAAAACCUCUGGUUUACAGUUUGCCAUUUUCUUUGGUGUAAAUACUUUCACGCUGGCCAAUUUCAGACAACUGCCAUGACAGUGCUGAGCAUUGAGUUGGGAAGAGAUGCGCAGCAGCCCAGCAUUGUAUAAGAUCACCACCCUUCAUACACAAUAGAUGCAGACCAAAUAGAAACAACCUUGAUAUCACAGACGUUAAGAAAAGUUAGUAAAAAGUCUUGAAAUUUUAUUUAAAAAUAAGUAAUAAAAAUUGUUACUUUUGUUUUUAAUGC
ensembl:lncRNA LINC02405 long intergenic non-protein coding RNA 2405